rnacentral:rRNA from 1 species
AGUUAGCGGCGGACGAGGUGAGUAACACGUGGGUAACCUGCCCAUAAGACUGGGAUAACUCCGGGAAACCGGGGCUAAUACCGGAUAACAUUUUGAACCGCAUGGUUCGAAAUUGAAAGGCGGCUUCGGCUGUCACUUAUGGAUGGACCCGCGUCGCAUUAGCUAGUUGGUGAGGUAACGGCUCACCAAGGCAACGAUGCGUAGCCGACCUGAGAGGGUGAUCGGCCACACUGGGACUGAGACACGGCCCAGACUCCUACGGGAGGCAGCAGUAGGGAAUCUUCCGCAAUGGACGAAAGUCUGACGGAGCAACGCCGCGUGAGUGAUGAAGGCUUUCGGGUCGUAAAACUCUGUUGUUAGGGAAGAACAAGUGCUAGUUGAAUAAGCUGGCACCUUGACGGUACCUAACCAGAAAGCCACGGCUAACUACGUGCCAGCAGCCGCGGUAAUACGUAGGUGGCAAGCGUUAUCCGGAAUUAUUGGGCGUAAAGCGCGCGCAGGUGGUUUCUUAAGUCUGAUGUGAAAGCCCACGGCUCAACCGUGGAGGGUCAUUGGAAACUUGGGGAGACCUUGAAGUGCCAGAAAGAGGGAAAAGUGGGAAUUUCCCAUGUUGUAGCCGGGUGAAAAUGCCGUAGGAGAUUAUGGGAGGGAACCACCCAGGUGGGCGAAGGGGGGGCCUUUUCUGGUUCUGUAAACUGAACACUGGAGGGCGCGAAAAGCGUGGGGGAGCAAACCAGGGAUUUAGAUACCCCUGGUAGUCCCACCCCCGUAAAACGAUGAGUGUUAAGUGUUAGAGGGUUUCCCGCCCUUUAGUGCGGAAGUUAACCCAUUAACCAUUCCGCCUGGGGAGUACGCCCGCAAGGCUGAAAUUCAAAGGAAUGGACGGGGGCCCGCCCAACCGGUGGAGCAUGUGGUUUAAUUGGAAGCAACGCGAAGACCCUUCCCAGUUCUUGACAUCUUUUGACAACCCUAGAGAUAGGGUUUUUCUUUGGGGAGCAGAGUGCCAGGUGGUCCAUGGUGGUCUCCAGCUCGUGUCGUAAGAUGUUGGGUUAAGUCCCGCAACGAGCGCAACCCUUGUUUUUAGUUGCCAUCAUUAAGUUGGGCACUUUAAGGGGACUCCCGGGGACAAACCGGAGGAAGGUGGGGAGGACGUCAAAUCUUCAUGCCCCUUAUGACCUGGGUUCCCCACGUGUUCCAAUGGCCGGUCCAAAGAGCUCCAAGACCCCGAGGUGGAGUUAUUUUCAUAAAACCGUUUUCAGUUCGGAUUGUAGUCUGCAAUUCGCCUCCAUGAAGCGGGAAUCGUUAGUAAUCGCGGAUCACCAUGCCGCGGUGAAUACGUUCCCGGCCCUUG